UACGUAGGGCGCGAGCGUUGUCCGGAAUUAUUGGGCGUAAAGAGCUCGUAGGCGGCCUGUCGCGUCAAUUGUGAAAGCCCGGGGCUUAACCCCGGGACUGCAGUCGAUACGGGCAGGCUAGAGUGUGGUAGGGGAGAUCGGAAUUCCUGGUGUAGCGGUGAAAUGCGCAGAUAUCAGGAGGAACACCGGUGGCGAAGGCGGAUCUCUGGGCCAUUACUGACGCUGAGGAGCGAAAGCGUGGGGAGCGAACAGG
rnacentral:rRNA from 1 species